GUCCCGCAGGGAGCCCGGCACCCCUUCGCCCAGGCCGUGGGCAGGAACAUCGCCAACCCCACGGCCAUGCUGCUCUCGGCCUCCAACAUGCUGCGGCACCUCAACCUGGAGUACCACUCCAACAUGAUCUCGGACGCGGUGAAGAAGGUGAUCAAAGGUGGAAAAGUGAGUGUGGGGCAACGGGUAGGGCUGGCGGUGCCUGGGUCACGUUCUCUGGCUGCUCUCUUCUUCUCAGCUGGUUCCUCUGCUCUCUCCAGCUGGAAUUCUGGUUCCUCUCUUCUUCCCAGCUGGAAUUCUGGCUUCUCUCCUCUCUCCAGCUACAAUCCCAGGCCCACAGCUGUGUCCAGCUCCCGUGGUCAUGUCCUGGCAGGGGAGGGAAUUCUGGCAGGGCUGGGGGAUCCUCCAUGGCCUCGUCCCCGUUUGGGUUCUUGGCAGGGCUCUCGGGGAUGUUCUGUGUCCCCAUCCCCACCCCAGGUCCUGGCAGGGCUCUCGGGGGUGUCCCACNNNNNNNNNNCCCCACCCCAGGUCCUGGCAGGGCUCUCGGGGGUGUCCCACAGCCCCCGUGCAGGUCCUGGCAGGGUCCUGCUGUGUGUCCCUGCUGUCCUGCGUCCCUCCCGCAGCCGUUCCCGCGUUCACCUCGGCCUUUCCCCCGUUUCUCCCCCCUCUCUUGGAUUUGCAGGUCCGGACUCGGGACUUGGGCGGUUACUCCACCACUUCCGACUUCGUCAAGUCCGUCAUUGACAACCUGCACCCCAACUAUGGGGCUUAGGACCCCCGGCAGCCCCCCAGCGUCUGGCCCCCUCCCCAAAUCCCCCCAGCACCCCCUCCCCAGGGAGGAGGGUACCCCAGGAACCCUUCAGCUUUCCCCAUCCCCCGCAGGAGGCGGCCAGCGCUGAUUUUGGGGCUUUUUGGGGUGGUUUGGAGGGGAUGGGGCAGCACCCCAAACUCAUAGGCAGCUCCUAGGGACAUUGGGACCACCCACCAUGGCUCUGGGACCCCCAUUCCCACGGGAUCCCCAUUACUGGAUUGUCAUUCCUGGGAGAACGGGUCCUUGGACUGUGGGACCCCAUUCCUAUGGGAUCUUUACCAAUGUGGGACCCCUAUUCCCAUGGGGUUUUUGUUUAUUGUGACUUUUGGACCAGUGGGAUUUG
rnacentral:lncRNA from 1 species